GAAGUCGGAAUCGCUAGUAAUCGUAGAUCAGAAUGCUACGGUGAAUACGUUCCCGGGCCUUGUACACACCGCCCGUCACACCAUGGGAGUGGGUUGCAAAAGAAGUAGGUAGCUUAACCUUCGGGAGGGCGCUUACCACUUUGUGAUUCAUGACUGGGGUGAAGUCGUAACAAGGUAACCGUAGGGGAACCUGCGGUUGGAUCACCUCCUUA
rnacentral:rRNA from 1 species